rnacentral:rRNA from 1 species
UACAGAGGUCCCAAGCGUUGUUCGGAUUCAUUGGGCGUAAAGGGCUCGUAGGCGGCCAACUAAGUCGGACGUGAAAUCCCUCAGCUUAACUGGGGAACUGCGUCCGAUACUGGAUGGCUUGGAUUUGGGAGAGGGAUGCGGAAUUCCAGGUGUAGCGGUGAAAUGCGUAGAUAUCUGGAGGAACACCGGUGGCGAAGGCGGCAUCCUGGACCAAUAUUGACGCUGAGGAGCGAAAGCCAGGGGAGCAAACGGG